rnacentral:snRNA from 15 species
AACUUUGCGCAGUGGCGAUACCGUAGCCAGUGAAGUUUAUCUGAGGCGCGGUUAUUGCUAGUUGAAAACUACUCCAAAACUGAAACUGAAUAUAUAUUUAUACUAAGCGAAGUUAGAUGGUGGCUAGCAGGGAAAACCAU